rnacentral:rRNA from 1 species
AUUGAACGCUGGCGGCAUGCCUUACACAUGCAAGUCGAACGGCAGCACGGGAGCAAUCCUGGUGGCGAGUGGCGAACGGGUGAGUAAUAUAUCGGAACGUGCCCAGUCGUGGGGAUAACGUAGCGAAAGCUACGCUAAUACCGCAUACGAUCUACGGAUGAAAGCGGGGGAUCGCAAGACCUCGCGCGAUUGGAGCGGCCGAUAUCAGAUUAGGUAGUUGGUGAGGUAAAGGCUCACCAAGCCGACGAUCUGUAGCUGGUCUGAGAGGACGACCAGCCACACUGGGACUGAGACACGGCCCAGACUCCUACGGGAGGCAGCAGUGGGGAAUUUUGGACAAUGGGCGGCAAGCCUGAUCCAGCAAUGCCGCGUGCAGGAUGAAGGCCU